AGGAAAAGGAGAGCCUGGUACACUACUGGGCAUUGGCGGCUGCACCUACCCUGACAUCUGAAGUUCCAACAGAGUGACAAGAUGAGCAAAAAGGGAGGAAGAUAGCCUUGACUACUUCCGUGGGAAGCUCAGCUUUGAGAUGAUGCAGGAAACCUGCAUUACAUCCAGUUGUAUCAACUAGGGUCAGAAUGACAAGCAACACCUACAGCAUGUGGGCCGCUUUGACCCCGUGACCCAGAGGUGCAGCUCAUCCAAACAUGGCCAUGAAGGAAGUCACGAUACAUUUGCCUCUGAGAAUGGCUGGAUAGAAGACUACGCCUGGAUCCCUGACCCUGAAGUGUCUGGAGACAAAAGUUGCAAUACCUAUAUAUAGUUUAUGUUACACCAAAAUAUCUGAAGAAAACUGUACUAUUGUCCAGUAUUGAAGACAGAAAACACAUUUUGAGAUGUAUUUUAGUCCAAAAUAAUUGAAAAAAAACUAUUAUGUGUACUUCCUAAAAUUAUGUCCAUAUUAUCCAUGUACAAAAGAAACUAUGAUACAGUGUAAAAAUGUGUUUUGUCACUGUAUUAAUAAACUGUGACUGGUUUCAAGAUUAUACAUA